rnacentral:lncRNA from 1 species
AUGCCAGCCCCUCCCCCAACUGGGAUUCAAGAAUUCACCUCCCCAUCUCCUCCUAUUCCUCAAACCCAGGGCACAGACCCCAGCCUUUUCCCCUCAGGCCCAGGGUCCCAGGUGUUGAACCCUGAGAAGGUUAAGCUCAGACACAGGGUACAAAGCCCAGCCCUCCUCCAUCAGACCCAGGGUCACAGGUACCCAACCUUCCUCCAUCAGACCCAGGGAACAGACCCCAGCCCUCCUCCAUCAGACCCAGGGAACAGAACCCAGGCUUUCUCCAUCAGACCCGGUGAACCGACCCCAGCCCUCCUCCAUCAGACCCAGGGAACCGACCCCAGCCCUCCUCCAUCAGACCCAGGGAACCGACCCCAGCCCUCCUCCAUCAGACCCAGGGAACAGACCCCAGCCCUCCUCCAUCAGACCCAGGGAACCGACCCCAGCCCUCCUCCAUCAGACCCAGGGAACAGACCCCAGGAUUUCUCCAUCAGACCCAGGGAACAGACCCCAGCCCUCCUCCAUCAGACCCAGGGAACAGACCCCAAGCUUUCUCCAUCAGACCCAGGGAACAGACCCCAGCCCUCCUCCAUCAGACCCAGGGAACAGAUCCCAGCCCUCCUCCAUCAGACCCAGGGAACAGACCCCAGCCCUCCUCCAUCAGACCCAGGGAACAGACCCCAAGCUUUCUCCAUCAGACCCAGGGAACAGACCCCAGCCCUCCUCCAUCAGACCCAGGGAACAGAUCCCAGCCCUCCUCCAUCAGACCCAGGGAACAGACCCCAGGAUUUCUCCAUCAGACCCAGGGAACAGACCCCAGCCCUCCUCCAUCAGACCCAGGGAACAGAUCCCAGCCCUCCUCCAUCAGACCCAGGGAACAGACCCCAGCCCUCCUCCAUCAGACCCAGGGAACCAACCCCAGCCCUCCUCCAUCAGACCCAGGGAACAGACCCCAGCCCUCCUCCAUCAGACCCAGGGAACAGACCCCAGGCUUUCUCCAUCAGAUCCAGGGAACAGACCCCAGGCUUUCUCCAUCAGAUCCAGGGAACAGACCCCAGCCCUCCUCCAUCAGACCCAGGGUCACUGGUACCCAACCCUCCUCCAUCAGACCCAGGGCUUUAA